UACGUAGGGUCCGAGCGUUGUCCGGAAUUAUUGGGCGUAAAGAGCUCGUAGGCGGUUUGUCGCGUCUGCUGUGAAAACUCGGGGCCCAACCCCGAGCUUGCAGUGGGUACGGGCAGACUAGAGUGCGGUAGGGGAGACUGGAAUUCCUGGUGUAGCGGUGGAAUGCGCAGAUAUCAGGAGGAACACCGGUGGCGAAGGCGGGUCUCUGGGCCGUAACUGACGCUGAGGAGCGAAAGCAUGGGGAGCGAACAGG
rnacentral:rRNA from 1 species